CCUACGGGUGGCAGCAGUGGGGAAUAUUGCACAAUGGGGGAAACCCUGAUGCAGCAACGCCGCGUGAGUGAAGAAGUAUUUCGGUAUGUAAAGCUCUAUCAGCAGGGAAGAAGAAAGACGGUACCUGACUAAGGAGCCCCGGCUAACUACGUGCCAGCAGCCGCGGUAAUACGUAGGGGGCAAGCGUUAUCCGGAUUUACUGGGUGUAAAGGGAGCGUAGACGGGCUGUUAAGUCAGCGGUCAAAUGUCGGGGCUCAACCCCGGCCUGCCGUUGAAACUGGCGGCCUCGAGUGGGCGAGAAGUAUGCGGAAGGCGUGGUGUAGCGGUGAAAUGCAUAGAUAUCACGCAGAACUCCGAUGGCGAAGGGAGCAUACCGGCGCCCGACUGACGCUGAGGCAAGAAAGCGUGGGUAUCGAACAGGAUUAGAUACCCUUGUAGUC
rnacentral:rRNA from 1 species